GAUGAACGCUAGCUACAGGCUUAACACAUGCAAGUCGAGGGGUAACGAGAGGAAAGCUUGCUUUCCUUGUCGACGACCGGCGCACGGGUGAGUAACGCGUAUCCAACCUGCCCCCAACUAAGGAAUAACCUUGCGAAAGUAAGACUAAUACCUUAUAAUUUCCUCAGAUGUCAUCUGACGAGGAAUAAAGAUUUAUCGGUUGUGGAUGGGGAGGCGUCUGAUUAGCUUGUUGGCGGGGUAACGGCCCACCAAGGCAACGAUCAGUAGGGGUUCUGAGAGGAAGGUCCCCCACAUUGGAACUGAGACACGGACCAAACUCCUACGGGAGGCAGCAGUGAGGAAUAUUGGUCAAUGGGCGGAAGCCUGAACCAGCCAAGUAGCGUGCAGGAUGACGGCCCUAUGGGUUGUAAACUGCUUUUAUACAGGAAUAAAGUUAGCCACGUGUGGUUAUUUGUAGGUACUGUAUGAAUAAGGACCGGCUAAUUCCGUGCCAGCCGCCGCUGUAA
rnacentral:rRNA from 1 species